UCUCCUACCUGUGGUACACACCUAUUGGUACAGCAACUGUCAUCAUAGUAGGGCUGUUGGUCAGCGUUCUUACAGGCAUGAACCGUGUGGGUGACGUGGACACCAAGUACAUGGUGCCUUUCUUCGACCGUCUCAUUUGCUGUCUCCCUUCAUCGAUCAGCCGAGUCCUCCGGUGUAAUCAGGAGUUUGACAGUCCCGAGGUACUGUGUGUGCUCAAGCGAAAGAAUUACAGUCAGUAGAACAAAAGAUUCAACACAAGAUGGCUGACCACAACUCUCUUGACACGAGACUUUGAUUGAGAGCCGAGAGUUUACCGUGAGGAUAACACACCCUGGUUCUCACAGCAUUUGGAUAGAAAGCGAUAGCCACAAAUACACAUAGGGAUAUCCAUCCCGGAUUAUUAAACGAUCCAGUUAACAAAUCCCGGUGAGGAUUAAAGUUUUCUUAUUAUACUCAAUCUCUCAUAAAUAUUGUCACCAUUUGGCUAUAUGCCUCUUGACAUAGGGGUAUCAUUGUUUAUGAUAUACGCCUGAAAUAUGAAUCAGCUUAUUAUAUAUUUCUACUAAAUAUUAA